rnacentral:misc_RNA from 1 species
GCCUAAAGUCUUAUACAGUGCAGUAUCAGAAUACACAGCUCUAGACCUGAAUGACUUAAUUCGCCUUCUAUGCCUGUAACCUUUUUGGUGCCUGUUAUGAUUCUUAUCUUUCAUUUCUGCAUCUUUUUCUUCACAUUUGUGUUCAUCUUUUGGUUCAUGGCAUUCAUUUUCACUUUCUUUUUCCUUGUCUUGUUCACUAAUUUCUGUCUUCUUGCCUUCAGAUGGAACAACAAAUACAAAAGGUCCAAUUGGUAUGUCAUUUAGCUCUAGCAGAGACUCCAAGGUCUUGACUACAGUGCUCAUAGUGGGUCUAGACUUGCAGUGGUGACUUAGGCAUUGAUAAGCCAAUGCUGCUGCUUUCCUAGCACCCUCUGUUGAAUAUUGCCCUUCAAGCCUUGGGUCCAUUAUCUG